GACGAACGCUGGCGGCGUGCUUAACACAUGCAAGUCGAACGAAGUGGCGAACGGGUGAGUAACGCGUAAUCAACCUGCCCUUCAGAGGGGGACAACCGUUGGAAACGACUGCUAAUACCCCAUACUGAAGGAGGGGAUUGCGUCGGAUUAGCUAGUUGGAGGGGUAACGGCCCACCAAGGCGAGGAUCAGUAGCCGGGCGGAGAGGAUGAACGGCCACAGUGGGAAUGAGACAAGGCCCAGACUCGUACGGGAGGCAGCAGUGGGGAAUCGUCCGCAAUGGAGGAAAGUCUGACGGAGCAACGCCGCGGGAGUGAGGACGGCCUUCGGGUUGUAAAGCUCUGUUAAGCGGGACGCGGUACCGGAAUAGAAAGCCACGGCUAACUACGUGCCAGCAGCCGCGGUAAUAC
rnacentral:rRNA from 1 species